GGGGAGAUAGCGAAGUGGCUAAACGCGGCGGACUGUAAAUCCGCUCCUUAGGGUUCGGUGGUUCGAAUCCACCUCUCCCCACCA
rnacentral:tRNA from 1 species